UACAGAGGUCUCAAGCGUUGUUCGGAUUCAUUGGGCGUAAAGGGCGCGUAGGCGGCGGGGUAAGUCGGGUGUGAAAUCUCAGAGCUCAACUCUGAAACUGCACUCGAUACUGCUCUGCUUGAGGACUGGAGAGGAGACUGGAAUUCACGGUGUAGCAGUGAAAUGCGUAGAUAUCGUGAGGAAGACCAGUGGCGAAGGCGGUUCUCUGGGCCUUACCUGACGCUGAGGAGCGAAAGCGUGGGGAGCGAACAGG
rnacentral:rRNA from 1 species